rnacentral:rRNA from 1 species
UCGAGAGGCUUCGGCAAUGGGGGAAACCCUGACCGAGCGACGCCGCGUGGAGGAUGAAGGCCCUUGGGUUGUAAACUCCUUUUGCCGGGGAAGAAAUGCGAUCAGGUGAACAAUCUGGUCGUUUGACGGUACCCGGCGAAUAAGCUCCGGCUAACUCCGUGCCAGCAGCCGCGGUAACACGGGGGGAGCAAGCGUUGUUCGGAAUCACUGGGCGUAAAGGGCGUGUAGGCGGUCAAGUAAGUGGAAUGUGAAAGCCCCCGGCUUACCCGGGGAUCUGCAUCCCAAACUGCUUGGCUUGAGUAUGGGAGAGGAUGGAGGAAUUCCUGGUGUAGCGGUGAAAUGCGUAGAUAUCAGGAGGAACACCGGUGGCGAAGGCGUCCAUCUGGCCCAAUACUGACGCUGAGGCGCGAAAGCUAGGGGAGCGAACGGGAUUAGAUACCCCCGUAGUCC